rnacentral:lncRNA from 1 species
CCUUAUAUGAUGAGGUAUGAUAAUUUACUAGCCUCCAAAGCUGAACUUUUUCUUAUGUUUAUAAUUGAGUAUUGUGAGCACCGCACAAUAUUUUCUUAGCUUCUUGGCAUAUUUCUCUUAUAUUCAGUUUAAGUUGGAUUAAUGAUCUCUUGACGCUUGAUGGCCAAUCAGCAAUAAUUGUCAUCCUAAGAUUAUUUUGUUUCUUUUGAAAGCGAUUAAAUCCUUGAUUCAUUAAAUGAGACCAUACAACCAUUUGUGUAGCAAGAUACCUAGAAAUAGAUUGGUGAUCUUUUAGUAUGAACUAACUUUAUAAGUAUCUAUCACGUCAAUACAUGGUUUAUAGCAACUAAGUUUGUAACUAACUAACAACACCAGCCCGCCAUCACGAUAGAGCAACUCAGUUUUAAGCAAGCUAGCAAGAUACGUAGUAUCAAGAAAAAAGUUGUAGCUUGUUCUUAUAGUAUAUACAUAAUCAUUUCUAACAGCAUCAAACAUGUUAGGCCCAUUUAAAGGCUAUGAUAAAAGCAUGAUGUUAUUUUCAAUUUUGCACGGUCGAAUUCCUUGAUGGAAUAGGUUGUCCAUUUGAUGGUGACACUUUAAAUUUUUGUUGCUUAUCGUUAAUAUCACAUCUCCUACCCAUUUUGCAGAUAGCUAGAGUGCGUGAUGAGGCUUGGCUGAAAGAGGAGGAAGCUAGGGUGAGACGCGUGAUCAAGGAAUCACAUGAGGCUAUCGCGAUGGAAAGAGCGCAAAAGGGAUAUGGUCAUGGAAAGAGCGCUAAGUAUGUAAUACCUGCUAAACGCAACUGAGUUGCUUCUUAAUCCAUGGUUACUGUUGAUGCUCUCUCACCACUUAAUUAGAAGACACACUUUG